UACGAAGGGUGCAAGCGUUACUCGGAAUUACUGGGCGUAAAGCGUGCGUAGGUGGUGAGUUAAGUCUGUCGUGAAAGCCCCGGGCUCAACCUGGGAAUGGCGAUGGAUACUGGCUCGCUAGAGUGCGGUAGAGGAGAGUGGAAUUCCCGGUGUAGCAGUGAAAUGCGUAGAGAUCGGGAGGAACAUCAGUUGCGAAGGCGGCUCUCUGGACCAGCACUGACACUGAGGCGCAGAAGCUAGGGGAGCAAACGGG
rnacentral:rRNA from 1 species